rnacentral:rRNA from 1 species
UACGGAGGAUCCAAGCGUUUAUCCCGGGAUUUUAUUUGGGGUUUUAAAAGGGGGAGCGUAGGGCGGCCCUGUUUAAGUCAGGGGGGUGAAAAGACGGGUGGGCUCAAACCCAUCGCAGUGCCCCCUUUGAUACUGAUGGGGGCUUUGAAAUUAUAGUUUGAGGGUAGGGCGGGAAUGUGACAAAGUAGCGGGUGAAAUGCAUAGAUAUGUCACAGAAACACCCGAUUGCGAAGGGCA